rnacentral:rRNA from 1 species
UUGAAGAGUUUGAUCAUGGCUCAGAUUGAACGCUGGCGGCAGGCCUAACACAUGCAAGUCGAACGGUAACAGGAAACAGCUUGCUGUUUCGCUGACGAGUGGCGGACGGGUGAGUAAUGUCUGGGAAACUGCCUGAUGGAGGGGGAUAACUACUGGAAACGGUAGCUAAUACCGCAUAACGUCGCAAGACCAAAGAGGGGGACCUUCGGGCCUCUUGCCAUCGGAUGUGCCCAGAUGGGAUUAGCUUGUUGGUGGGGUAACGGCUCACCAAGGCGACGAUCCCUAGCUGGUCUGAGAGGAUGACCAGCCACACUGGAACUGAGACACGGUCCAGACUCCUACGGGAGGCAGCAGUGGGGAAUAUUGCACAAUGGGCGCAAGCCUGAUGCAGCCAUGCCGCGUGUAUGAAGAAGGCCUUCGGGUUGUAAAGUACUUUCAGCGGGGAGGAAGGGAGUAAAGUUAAUACCUUUGCUCAUUGACGUUACCCGCAGAAGAAGCACCGGCUAACUCCGUGCCAGCAGCCGCGGUAAUACGGAGGGGUGCAAGCGUUAAUCGGAAUUACUGGGCGUAAAGCGCACGCAGGCGGUUUGUUAAGUCAGAUGUGAAAUCCCCGGGCUCAACCUGGGAACUGCAUCUGAUACUGGCAAGCUUGAGUCUCGUAGAGGGGGGUAGAAUUCCAGGUGUAGCGGUGAAAUGCGUAGAGAUCUGGAGGAAUACCGGUGGCGAAGGCGGCCCCCUGGACGAAGACUGACGCUCAGGUGCGAAAGCGUGGGGAGCAAACAGGAUUAGAUACCCUGGUAGUCCACGCCGUAAACGAUGUCGACUUGGAGGUUGUGCCCUUGAGGCGUGGCUUCCGGAGCUAACGCGUUAAGUCGACCGCCUGGGGAGUACGGCCGCAAGGUUAAAACUCAAAUGAAUUGACGGGGGCCCGCACAAGCGGUGGAGCAUGUGGUUUAAUUCGAUGCAACGCGAAGAACCUUACCUUGGUCUUGACAUCCACGGAAGUUUUCAGAGAUGAGAAUGUGCCUUCGGGAACCGUGAGACAGGUGCUGCAUGGCUGUCGUCAGCUCGUGUUGUGAAAUGUUGGGUUAAGUCCCGCAACGAGCGCAACCCUUAUCCUUUGUUGCCAGCGGUCCGGCCGGGAACUCAAAGGAGACUGCCAGUGAUAAACUGGAGGAAGGUGGGGAUGACGUCAAGUCAUCAUGGCCCUUACGACCAGGGCUACACACGUGCUACAAUGGCGCAUACAAAGAGAAGCGACCUCGCGAGAGCAAGCGGACCUCAUAAGUGCGUCGUAGUCCGGAUUGAGUCUGCAACUCGACUCCAUGAAGUCGGAAUCGCUAGUAAUCGUGGAUCAGAAUGCCACGGUGAAUACGUUCCGGCCUUGUACACACCGCCCGUCACACCAUGGGAGUGGGUUGCAAAAGAAGUAGGUAGCUUAACCUUCGGGAGGGCGCUUACCACUUUGUGAUUCAUGACUGGGGUGAAGUCGUAACAAGGUAACCGUAGGGAACCUGCGGUUGGAUCACCUCCUU